rnacentral:SRP_RNA from 2 species
GCCAGGUGUGGUGGUGUGCGCCUGUGGUCCCAGCUACUGAGGAGGCUGAGGCGGGAGAAUCACCCGAGCCUGGGAGGUCGAGGCUGCAGUGAGUGAUCGUGCCACUGCACUCCAGCCUAGGUGACAGGGUGAGACCUUGUCUCAA